rnacentral:rRNA from 1 species
GGGUUUCCUUUUGGGAAGAAGGGGGAGGGGUUAGGUGGGAACAGGGGAGCGGUAGAGGAGAGGAGUCCACGCGAGAGAGACGAGGGGACGCCGGCCGAGUUCGAAGGCAAAGGGAGGUCCGGAGCGCGCGUCUCCGUCCCGCCGCCGCCCGCCCGCCCGUCCGUACCCGCGGUCGCCCCCGCCCCUUCUGUUCGGGAAGUUAAAGGAGGUCUAGGAGACGCUCCCGCAGUAUCGGCCUCCGCGGCGGCCCCAGCACCACCUCUGCCGCGAGAUGGGGUAGCUGUGGUAGUUCUGGUCCGAAGUCCGACGAGCUCGACCUUCAGUUUAAGUUACCUUUCCGGACAUAAGGCCUAACCCACCUUUAGAACAGCCACAAGAGGGCCGAAGACGAGACAAACACCCUUAUAUGCUUGGUUGAUUUGCCUUCGAUGACCUGUACAAAGGACUUUUAAACUCACGACAACGAGUAGAAUGACGUCCACGACAACCUCCCAACCCACGGAGAGAGUAAGCACAGGGGUGUCUCCACCAGUUUGUUUCCUACGUUUGACCAGUUAAGUCCUGACGCGGACUACGACAAGCAGAGUAUCAACGGUUCCUUCCUAAAUCUCCAGAAAAACGACCAAUACCAAGUAAAAAUGAAGCUCUAGAAGGCAAACUACGGUAAGUUAAGACGUAUAUACUCGUUGAAGCUUAACCAAUGUUCGAAUACCGUUUCUCCCUCGACUUCCUAGGUCUCUUACGUGAUUAACCACGAAAACGGCCACGCUAAUGACCGCGAUAUUGCUGGGGGGAGCUACAAGACUUCUGUUCCAACUACUAAGUCCCCGUUUGUUUCGUUAUGAGACCUUAACAUUCGACACGAUUCUGGUAGAACUCUCUCCUUCCAGGGCCGCGGAAAAACUUCCCGUAACUCGGAGCUCAAGACACCUAGCCGUAGCCGCCUAGGUAUAAGAAGCCGCACGACCUCUUCUGGUUCAGCCACGAGCGACUCUCCUCGUCGGCGUUCCGACGCGACCGCCUCUUCCUGCUCACUUGGUUGGUUGGUUUGGUUAACACGUAGGAUACGACUGAACGCCGAGGAGUGAGGUGUGGUAAUGGGCAAGGAAAGUGGACUUCAAAACGAGGUUUAAAUACACUACCCGAAAUACAAAGAGCAAGGUCUUGACAUUCCGUAUGUUAGUCAAAGUUCUCAAACAAAACUGCAGCCGCUACCAAUACUAGGACAUACUCAGGGACAUUUGUAAUGAGGAAAUUAUUUCAAAUCGUCUAACAAGAACUUUUUUCUGAUACAGAAAAUUAGACUUCUUCCCGGACGACACGGUGAGUACA